rnacentral:lncRNA from 1 species
GAAUUAGGCAGGAAGCAUUCAUGAUGCCAGCAAUUUAAGGUGUUUUGCAGCCCAUUAUGUUUCUGGUUCUCUCAAGAACCUAAGCAUGGAUCAAAUGACAUUUCUGUUGCCCAGUUGUCUGGAAAAAGUCUCAUCACAGCUUCAGUGCCUGUAUCAGAUAACAUCUUAGGAAGUCUCAUCCAGGCUACCCUUCCUCCAGACACACUGGAUAUGAUCUUAAUUGCUAGAAUAUUAAGAGAAGAUAAUAAGAUAAGAAGGGAAGCAGCAACCAUAUGAUGUGAUAAUUGUGAGUCUGGGACCUGGAAGCUUUA